GCUGGGCAUGGUGGUGCAUGCCUGUAGUCCCAGCUACUCAGGAGGCCGAGGCACGAGAAUCACUUGAACCCAGGAGGCAGAGGCUGCAGUGAGCCGAGAUCAUGCCACUGCACUCUGGCCUGGGUGACAGAGUGAGACCCUGUCUCAA
ensembl:misc_RNA Metazoa_SRP Metazoan signal recognition particle RNA